UCGAGCGAGAACCAUGGCUUCGGCCAUGGGGACAGCGGCGAACGGGUGAGUAACACGUGGGUAAUCAACCCCCGACACCGGGAUAGCCCGGGGAAACCCGGAUUAAUACCGGAUGCUCCGUCUGGCCUGAGGGCCGGCCGGAAAAGGGUAGCUUCGGCCUCCGGUCGGGGACGAGCCCGCGGCGGAUUAGCUUGUUGGUGGGGUAACGGCCCACCAAGGCGACGAUCCGUAGCUGGUCUGAGAGGACGAUCAGCCACACUGGGACUGAGACACGGCCCAGACUCCUACGGGAGGCAGCAGUAGGGAAUCUUGCGCAAUGGGCGAAAGCCUGACGCAGCGACGCCGCGUGAGGGAAGAAGGCCUUCGGGUUGUAAACCUCUUUCAGGAGGGACGAAGCCACUCGGGUUAAUAGCCCAGAGGGUGACGGUACCUCCAGAAGAAGCCCCGGCUAACUACGUGCCAGCAGCCGCGGUAAUACGUAGGGGGCAAGCGUUGUCCGGAUUUAUUGGGCGUAAAGAGCGUGUAGGCGGCCAAGCAGGUCCGCUGUGAAAACUCGGGGCUCAACCUCGAGAGGUCGGUGGAAACCGUUUGGCUAGAGUCCGGAAGAGGAGAGUGGAAUUCCCGGUGUAGCGGUGAAAUGCGCAGAUAUCGGGAAGAACACCCGUGGCGAAGGCGGCUCUCUAGGACGGUACUGACGCUGAGACGCGAAAGCGUGGGGAGCGAACAGGAUUAGAUACCCUGGUAGUCCACGCCGUAAACGAUGGGCACUAGGUGUGGCG
rnacentral:rRNA from 1 species